ACUGGGCAUGGUGUACAUGCAUGUAGCCCUAGAUGCUAGGGAGGCUGAGACAGGAGAAUCCUUUGAGCCAAGGAUUUUGAGGCCAACCUCGGCAACUUAGGGAGACCCUGUCUCAA
rnacentral:sRNA from 1 species